GAUCCUGGCUCAGUAUGAACGCUAGCUACAGGCUUAACACAUGCAAGUCGAGGGGCAGCAUGAAAGUUUGCUUGCAAACUUUUGAUGGCGACCGGCGCACGGGUGAGUAACACGUAUCCAACCUGCCUCAUACUCGGGGAUAGCCUUUCGAAAGAAAGAUUAAUACCCGAUGUCAUAGUCCUACCGCAUGAUGGGAUUAUUAAAGAAUUUCGGUAUGGGAUGGGGAUGCGUUCCAUUAGUUAGUUGGCGGGGUAACGGCCCACCAAGACAACGAUGGAUAGGGGUUCUGAGAGGAAGGUCCCCCACAUUGGAACUGAGACACGGUCCAAACUCCUACGGGAGGGCAGCAGUGAGGAAUAUUGGUCAAUGGACGAGAGUCUGAACCAGCCAAGUAGCGUGAAGGAUGACUGCCCUAUGGGUUGUAACCUUCUUUUAUAUGGGAAUAAAAUGUUCCACGUGUGGGAUUUUGUAUGUACCAUAUGAAUAAGGAUCGGCUAACUCCGUGCCAGCAGCCGCGGUAAUACGGAGGAUCCGAGCGUUAUCCGGAUUUAUUGGGUUUAAAGGGAGCGUAGGUGGAUUGUUAAGUCAGUUGUGAAAGUUUGCGGCUCAACCGUAAAAUUGCAGUUGAAACUGGCAGUCUUGAGUACAGUAGAGGUGGGCGGAAUUCGUGGUGUAGCGGUGAAAUGCUUAGAUAUCAAAAAGAACUCCGAUUGCGAAGGCAGCUCACUGGACUGCAACUGACACUGAGGCUCGAAAGUGUGGGUAUCAAAAAGGAUUAGAUCCCGUGGUAGUCCACACAGUAAACGAUGAAUACUCGCUGUUUGCGAUAUACGGCAAGCGGCCAAGCGAAAGCAUUAAGUAUUCCACCUGGGGAGUACGCCGGCAACGGUGAAACUCAAAGGAAUUGACGGGGGCCCGCACAAGCGGAGGAACAUGUGGUUUAAUUCGAUGAUACGCGAGGAACCUUACCCGGGCUUAAAUUGCACCUGAAUAAUGUGGAAACAUGUUAGCCGUAAGGCAGGUGUGAAGGUGCUGCAUGGUUGUCGUCAGCUCGUGCCGUGAGGUGUCGGCUUAAGUGACAUAACGAGCGCAACCCUUAUCUUCAGUUACUAACAGGUCAUGCUGAGGACUCUGGAGAGACUGCCGUCGUAAGAUGUGAGGAAGGUGGGGAUGACGUCAAAUCAGCACGGCCCUUACGUCCGGGGCUACACACGUGUUACAAUGGGAGGUACAGAAGGCCGCUACCUGGCGACAGGAUGCCAAUCCCCAAAACCUCUCUCAGUUCGGAUCGAAGUCUGCAACCCGACUUCGUGAAGCUGGAUUCGCUAGUAAUCGCGCAUCAGCAAUGGCGCGGUGAAUACGUUAACGGGCCUUGUACUCACCGCCCGUCA
rnacentral:rRNA from 1 species